rnacentral:rRNA from 1 species
UACGUAGGGGGCUAGCGUUGUCCGGAAUCAUUGGGCGUAAAGCGCGUGUAGGCGGUCCGGUAAGUCCGCUGUGAAAGUCGGGGGCUCAACCCUCGAAAGCCGGUGGAUACUGUCGGGCUAGAGUGCGGAAGAGGCGAGUGGAAUUCCUGGUGUAGCGGUGAAAUGCGCAGAUAUCAGGAGGAACAUCAGUGGCGAAGGCGGCUUUCUGGACUGAAACUGACGCUGAGGUGCGAAAGCGUGGGGAGCAAACAGGAUUAGAGACCCCUGUAGU